GGGAGCGCCGGGGUGCGAACCUGGGGCGGAAGGACGCAGAGCCUCGGGGUUGCAGCCCGCGUGCUCG
rnacentral:pre_miRNA from 1 species